rnacentral:rRNA from 1 species
AGUCGUGGGGGAUAACGUAGCGAAAGCUACGCUAAUACCGCAUACGAUCUAUGGAUGAAAGCGGGGAUCGCAAGACCUCGCGCGAUUGGAGCGGCCGAUAUCAGAUUAGGUAGUUGGUGAGGUAAAGGCUCACCAAGCCGACGAUCUGUAGCUGGUCUGAGAGGACGACCCAGCCACACUGGGACUGAGACACGGCCCAGACUCCUACGGGAGGCAGCAGUGGGGAAUUUUUGGACAAUGGGCGCAAGCCUGAUCCAGCAAUGCCGCGUGCAGGAUGAAGGCCUUCGGGUUGUAAACUGCUUUUGUUCGGAACGAAACGGUGAGCUCUAAUACAGUUUGCUAAUGACGGUACCGUAAGAAUAAGCACCGGCUAACUACGUG